UGGUUCUGGCAUNGAUGAAGAACGCAGCGAAAUGCGAUAAGUAAUGUGAAUUGCAGAAUUCAGUGAAUCAUCGAGUUUUUGAACGCACACUGCGCCCCUUGGUAUUCCGGGGGGCAUGCCUGUUCGAGCGUCAUUUCACCAAUCAAGCCUGGCUUGGUAUUGGGUCCCGGGGGCCACCCGGAUCUCAAAUUCGUCGGCUGGAAAGCUCUGAUCUCAGCGUCGUGGUUAUUCAUUCGCGAAGAGAAGGGCGAUCUGUGCCGUUAAACCUCAAAAGGUUGACCUCGGAUCAGGUAGGAAUACCCGCUGA
rnacentral:misc_RNA from 1 species